rnacentral:rRNA from 1 species
AGAGUUUGAUCCUGGCUCAGGACAAACGCUGGCGGCGUGCGUAACACAUGCAAGUCGGACGGGCUCAGUGCUUUCGGGUGCUGGGUGAGUGGCGGACGGGUGCGUAACACGUGGAUGACCUACCCUGGCGUGGGGGAUACCCUUCAGAAAUGGAGGCUAAGACCGCAUGUGGUCCUUGGGGGUGGAGCCCUGGGGAAGAAAGUCGGGCAACCGACGCGCGAGGAGGGGUCCGCGGCCGAUUAGCUAGUUGGCGGGGUAAUGGCCCACCAAGGCGACGAUCGGUAGCUGGUCUGAGAGGAUGAUCAGCCACACUGGGAUUGAGAACGGCCCAGACUCCUACGGGGGGCAGCAGUGAGGAAUCUUCCACAAUGGGCGCAAGCCUGAUGGAGCAACGCCGCGUGCGGGACGACGCGUUUCGGCGUGUAAACCGCUUUUCUUCGGGACGAGAACGGACGGUACCGGAGGAAGAAGCCUCGGCUAACUACGUGCCAGCCGCCGCGGUAAUAC